rnacentral:tRNA from 1 species
CGGGGUGUGGCUCAGCUUGGUAGAGCACUCGGUUCGGGACCGAGAGGUCGAUGGUUCAAAUCCAUUCACCCCGACCA